GCACCACAACAGGUGGAGCCUGCGGUUUAAUCGGACUCAACGCCGGGAAACUCACCAGAUAAGACAGCUGAAUGAUAGUCGGGCUGAAGACUCUACUUGACUAGCUGAGAGGAGGUGCAUGGCCGUCGUCAGUUCGUACUGUGAAGCAUCCUGUUAAGUCAGGCAACGAGCGAGACCCACGCCAACAGUUGCCAGCUCGUCCUCCGGGAUGGUGGGGACACUGUUGGGACCGCCUCUGCUAAAGAGGAGGAAGGAAUGGGCAACGGUAGGUCAGCAUGCCCCGAAUUAUCUGGGCUACACGCGGGCUACAAUGGUCAGGACAAUGGGUAUCGACACCGAGAGGUGGAGGCAAUCUCCUAAACCUGUCCUUAGUUCGGAUUGUGGGCUGCAACUCGCCCACAUGAAGCUGGAAUCCGUAGUAAUCGCGUUUCAAAAUAGCGCGGUGAAUAUGUCCCUGCUCCUU
rnacentral:rRNA from 1 species